GAGAUAGUCUUCAUUAAGCAAGCAGAAAAUGAUUUCAAAAUUGCUACCAUCUUUUCAAAUGCACAAAACAAAGUUUGGUCAGCCCAUCAAUCGUGACAUGAUUCAAGAAAUAGUGAUAUGCAAAGUAACUUGUCAGCAAUUGACAUUUUUUUAUUACAAAAUUCAAUUAUUGUUGGAGGGUGGAAACAAUAUGACAAAUUUG
rnacentral:lncRNA from 1 species